CGGGGUAGCGGUGCGCAUGCGCCAACCUCUCUCCGUGUCCUUCUCAGGUCGGAGUUUGGUUAGUUAGCCUGGGCUUGUACGUAGGAGGAAGUUGGGUGGGAUAGAGAAAGAGUGGGCGUGGUGUAUCCACGCGUGGAUAGAAUGGGAGAUAUAAUAGAAUGAGAGGUAGAAUAGAUAGCAUGGAAUUGGUGGAAUGGAAAGUAUGAGAAUACAACUGUAAUGUAAUGUGUCUUAACAUUAGAUUGUAUUUGAAUGUGUUUAUAUGUAUGCUUAUUUUAAUCUUAAUGUAACUGUUUAUGUUAUACUAGCUGUGCCCGGCCACGCGUUGCUGUGGCGAAGUAUGGUGGUAUGGGAAAUAAAGUAUUGAGGAAUUGGUGGUAGUUAAGGUAAAGGGUAAAGGUUUUCCCCUGACAUUAACUCCAGUCGUGUCUGACUCUGGGGGUUGAUGCUCAUCUCCAUUUCUAAGCCGACGUGCUAGCGUUGUCUGCGGACUCCUCCAAGAUCAUGUGGCCGGCAUGACUGCAUGGAGCACCGUUACUUUCCCGCCGGAGCAGUACCUAUUCAUCUACUUCCAUUUGCAUGUUUUCGAACUUCUGGGUUGGCAGAAGCUGGGGCUAACAGUGGGGGCUCUCUCCACUCCCCCAAUUCAAACCUGUGGCCUUUCGAUCCAGAAGUUCAGCAGCUCAGCGCUUUAACAUGCUGAGCAAUCAGGGGAUAUUAUUUCCUAAAGGUUGUGAAUAUACAAUAUUUCAGAUUUUUUUUUGUCUGUUGGAGGCAAGUAUGAAUGCUGCAAUUAGGGGAAAUGAUUAGCAGCUUUAAAGCCUGGCUGUUUCCUAUCUGAGUGAAUUUUUUGUUGGGAGGUGUUAGCUGGCCCAGAUUGUUUCCUGUCUGGAAUUCCCUUGUUUUCAGAGUGGUGUUGUUUGCGAUAUUAUAUGUGCUUCUACUGUCUGUGGCCCUCAGAAAACAGAGGAUUUGGCAGACUUUGGUGAUGGGAAUACUUUGUUGGGAGGUGUUAGCUGGCCCUGAUUGUUUACUGUGUGGAAUUCCCCUGUUUUCAGAGUGGUGUUGUUUGCGAUAUUUUAUGUGCUUCUACUGUCUGUGGCCCUCAGAAAACAGAGGAUUUGCCAGACUUUGGUGAUGGGAAUACUUUGUUGGGAGGUGUUAGCUGGCCCUGAUUGUUUCCUGCCUGGAAUUCCCUAGUUUUCAGAGUGGUGUUGUUUGCGAUAUUUUAUGUGCUUCUACUGUUUGUGGCCCUCAGAAAAGAGAGGAUUUGCCAGACUUUGGUGAUGGGAAUACUUUGUCGGGAGGUGUUAGCUGGCCCUAAUUGUUUACUGUGUGGAAUUCCCCUGUUUUCAGAAUGUUGUUAUUUAGUGUUCUGAUUUUAGAGAUUGUAUUGUUCUGUUUUAAUAUACCACAGAAAUUUUUAUAUAUUCUGAUUUUAGUGUUUUUGAAUACUUGGAGCCAGAUUGUAUUUAUUUUCACAGUUCACAGCAACACAAUAAUAAUAAUAAUAAUAAUGACUUUGGUAAUACACACUGCUUCACUCCCUUUUCAGCUUCCUUUAUGGAAGAAUUGUUUCUUGGGAGAUGUUAGCUGGCCCUGAUUGUUUCCUUUGUAGAAUUUCCAAUUUCCCUGCUUUCAGAGUGUUGUUCUUUAUUUACUUUCCUGGUUUUAGAGAUUAUAUUUUUCUGUAUUAUUCUAUCACAGUAAUUAUUUCAUAUUACAGUAGAAUCUCACUUAUCCAACAUUUGCUUAUCCAAUAUUCUGGAUUAUCCAACGCAGUCUGCCUUUUAGUACUCAGUGUUUUUGUAGUCAGUGUUUUAAAUUCAUUGUGAUAUUUUGGUGGUAAAUUUGUAAAUACAGUACAGUAGAGUCUCACUUAUCCAACAUAAACAGGCUGGCAGAACGUUGGAUAAGCGAAUAUGUUGGAUAAUAAGGAGAGAUUAAGAAAAAGCGUAUUAAACAUCAAAAUAGGUUAUGAUUUUACAAAUUAAGCACCAAAACAUAAUGUUAUACAACAAAUUUGACAGAAAAAGUAGUUCAAUAAGCAGUAAUGUUAUGUUGUAAUUACUGUAUUUACGAAAUUAGCACCAAAAUAUCACAUUAUAUUGAAAACAUUGACUACAAAAAUGUGUUGGAUAAUCCAGAACGUUGGAUAAGUGAGACUCUACUGUAAUUACUACAUAGCAUUACUGCGCAUGGAACUACUUUUUCUGUCAAAUUUGGAAAUCCCUCCCUAAAGAAGCCCAGGUGGCGCCUUCCUUGCUCUUCUUCUGAAGGCAGGUAAAUACACUCCUAUUUCAUUUCAAUUCUUUAUAGAUUGAUGACAGCUAGACUGCCAAUGCUGCAUGGUUCCAUUUUGAAGAUUUUUGAAGGAGUUCCAUAUAGUUUUUAAUGUAUUUUAAUGUUUUUAAUGUUUUAAUUUGUUAUCUGUUUUACUUGCUUUUUAGUCUUAUAUUUUCAUUAUGAUUUUUGUAUUGUUUGUAACUUGUAUUGUUUUUAAUAUGUUACUAUCUUCCUUGAAUCCAACUAUCAGGAGAAAUUUCCUGAUUAUGUGACUUUCAAUCGAAAAAACCUUUCUCAGAUUAAAAUAUUAACACAUCAUAUUUAUACAUGUUACUUUUACUGUUUUCAGUGAAAUAAAUAAAUAACCAAAGGAUAAUAAUAAUAAUAUCGUUUCUUCCUCUUAAGUAUGCUUACAUUUUUUUAGUCACACACACGAUUUUAGGUGUAUUUACAGGGAGAAAAGUCUCACAAUUCAAUGAGAUGUGUUGUUUCAAUAUAGAAAUUAAUACCUGAUUUUUCAAAACUUGGGGGAUCAGAGCUCUGAUAGUAUAAUCCUUAUUAUAUUGCAGUUCAAGAGAAAAUAUUGCUUCAUCUUUUGACAAUUCAGCUUUCUGUCACAAGGCUCUCCUCCCAACUUCUUUGAGAAUGCAUGAAAGUAAAAGCUAUGAUUCUCAGAGUUUUUAUCAGAGGGUAACUCAAAUUAUUUAAACAUUAUGAAUGGUACUGUGGAAACAACCGUGUCAGAUUUAUCUAAUGCAGUUUUCCAGGCAUUUCAUGUUGGUGACACACUUUUUGGACAUGCAUCAUUUUGUGACAUGGUAAUUCAGUUUUAUUAGCAAACCAGAGAUUAAAUCAACCCCUUAUAAGAGAUAUGGAUGCAUAUAUAUACUGUAAUCAUGAAAUGUAGGGGAACAUAAUGUAUCUCAUGAAAACCUUUCAUUUAUAUUUUUAAAAUAUAUGAUUUGUAAGAUAAUAUGUCAUAUCCCAUUCUGUUCACAUGACACACACACUGAAGCUGACACACUAAUGUGUAGCAACACAGAGUUUGGAAAGCUCUGACUUGUGAGAUAAACCUGGCAUAAGCUUACGUAUGGUACAAUGAGAAUCUUUGUUGUUUAUCCUGCAAAAGGCUAAUAUGGGUAAGAUUGACAAAUCAUAUACUUCAUUAGAACACACUUUUGUCAUUCCAGGAAAAAAAGGGGGAGUAGCUAAAUUCUCUGUCUUGAUCUUCUCAGAUUGACAGCAAUAACAAAAAGACUGUGUAGACAAUGGAAAGAUGUGCCUAAUGAACAUAAAUGUUGAUACUUGCCACUAGCCUUAGUAACUAUGUAUGACUCUCCUGAAUUUCCUUUACAGUUUCUGUAAAGACUUUCAGUUUCUCAGCAAAGCAGUAUCUUGUAUAACUUCUUUGGAACUGCUUGUUAAUCACGCUGGUGACCUUAGAUUGCCAUAUGUCUACUUCCUGAAGUAAAAUUUGAAUUCUAUUUAUGUGAUGAAACAUCAUGGAGACGUCAGAUUUGACAUUUUGACCUUUCAACUUGCAUUUUAUCAGUUUCUCAUAUUAAAGAUUUCUCUUUUGAAGUUAAAGAGAAUUGUGUUGGAGUUUCCUAGAAUUAAUAAUCAUAACAAUUACUAACAUUUUGGACCUAAAUGUGACACUUGGAUGAGGAAUUCAUGUCUGCUUCUAAAUCCACCUAUAGUAUGAUAUUGCUGAGGCGAUGAUGAUGACAGGGAAUUUGUCCAUGACUAUGGAAAGCAUUACCUUGUCCACACUGCCAAAGCCAAAGGCACCCAAUAACGUUUUUACCGUAACUUUCAUUCCACUUUCUUUAAACACAUGUAGCUGGUAACGAAAUAUAGCCUUGCUUUAUUUUUAUUUAGAUGGCUACAGUAAACAAAGUACAACAUUUUGAUAUAUUCCAUGCAAAUAGCAUAUACAAUUGUAUAUUCCAGGAGACUGAGAUGUGAUGUCUGUCUAUCUAUCUGUUCAUCAGAUGAUUUUUACAGAGCUCACAUCUUCAUUGGAAGUGAAACAUUGAUAUUGCUGUUGACCUGAAAAACAAAGCGAUAUCAAUACUGCAUUUGUAGUUGAAAUGUGUAUAUAUACAUUUAGCAUUUGUUUACAUUUAGCAAGUGCCUUAUCAACCUACAAAUCACAGAAUUCUAGAGCAUUGAGACAUAGCAGUUAAAAUGCUCUCACACUGUAUUUUGACCAUAUAGUUGCAUCUUUUGACAGCCAGAAUAUACAAAACAAUCAGAUUAUUCAACAAAUGUGGAGAAGAUUCUAGUAGUAAUAUAAUGAUUACAGUGCACCCCUGGUAAGCUUGGUAAGUAUUUUGUAAACCUUAUGCUACUCAGAAGGGGAAAUUCUAUGCCUUGUAUGGUCUGGAUGCUAAAGUCAAAAGAGUGGAGGAAAUGUCUCUUAAUAUUAAUUAGUAAAUGGCACAAACAAGCAUAUUUUCUUUAUAGUUUAUAGUUGACCUUUUUUUGGUUCUCCCUUAAAAUGCCACUGUGUAUCGCAAAUAACAGACAGAAUGCAGGUCAGAUGAAGAAAUCUAUGUUUGAGCACUGAGAUUUCUCUUGCCAUCUUGAUCUCCAGCUUGAAAUAAAUCAGAAAGAUCUUGUAUAUCCUGACUAUCUUUUACAUUCUUUAGAUACUGUAACACAUUUGUUUUCCUCAUUGCACUCAAAGGUGCCUCUUCCAGCCGUCCCAACAACAGUUGUUUUAUCACAUCUGAUAUCUCUUCCCUUCUGAUGUUAUCGUAGAUAUCAGCAGGGUCUUGGUUCUUUGGUGAAGUCCACAUAAUAUGUGCUCGGGAUACGUGCCCUCGGUCAGUGGCGGUAUGCACUCCCAUCAUGGCAUUGUGCAGCCACAUCAGCCUCUUUAAUCCUUGAAGAGCCCCCCCUCUGUCAUUCAGGAGUUGAUGCUCUGUCACUGCUCUUUUGCUGAAAUUUGAGAAGCAAAUGUUGUUGGAAGAGACAACAAAGGCCACCCAGUAGUGCAGUAGUAUAUUCAAUGCUUCUCUGUGUACCCUAUUUUCUAGUAGAAAUACCAUACUUCUCACAGAAAAAUAUGAACAGAAUUACCAAUACUUUUAAAAAUUAGGAAAUUAAACAUAGAAAGGAGUAGUACUCAGCCUUACUGAAAUGUCUGGCACUAUCUACUGACUUGCAUAAGCAUUACAUGGUAUGUCUGGGGGCUAAACUGGAAGUACAUGGACCACUAUUGACCUGUAUAAAAUCUGAUCCCUGUAUUCAUUACUUUUAAUAUAAAGGAUAAAGGCAGGACAUGAAUAAAUAAAUAGAAAAUUGAUAAAUACACCCAGAAACCCAAUGGGAAUAUGCCGCUGUCUUCUCAGUCACUAUAAGACACCUCUUUCUACGUUUUUAUCUAGAAUGAAAUUUUUCAAGACUGCCACAUCUUCAUGCAGAUCUGGAAGUGAGUUUUACUAGCUAUUACCUCAUGUACAGGAUCGCAGUAUAAAUCUGCAUACACCUAUUCUGAAAUAUUCUCUGAAUUAAGAAUGACCUUUCCAAUAAGAGUGUAUAGAUUGUUACUGUCAAUGGGUCCCGCAUCAUAAAUUUUAAUGUCCCUUGUUAACGCAUUUAGACAUUUUCUGAAACUUUCUGCUGUCAUUUAUCAGUAAAUUUUGCAUCCAAAAGGCAAAGUAAUAAAAACACUACAUUCAAAUAAUCCCAUUCAGAAUUGUAUCUAAAAUAUUUCUUACUUUUCAGAUUCUUGACAUGUUGCAAAGCAAGCAAGCAAAAAAAUGGACAAAACUUUCACCAUUGCAUCCACCCAAACAUCCAAUUCACGAUGGAAAAAGAAAAGGAAGGAAAACUGCAAUUUCUAGAUGUUCUGGUCAUCCGCAAACCCAAUCAACAAUUGGGCCACAUAGUUUACAGAAAACCUACACACACAGAUACCUUCAUAAAAACUCCCAACCAUCACCCAAGUCAAAAAGAAGCACAAUCAAAUCCCUGACAGACCGUGCACAAAGAAUCUGCGAACCUCACCUCCUCCAAGGUGAACUAAACCACCUAAACUGGGCUCUACAGGCCAAUGGAUACUCCACCACAGACAUCAGAAGAGCUGCACACAGCCCGAAAGACAUACAACAACCCUGUGAUCCCGGCCAUGAAAGACUUCAACAACACAACAAACUCUCUCUCUCUUUCUCUCUCUCUGAGUAUAUGGCAUUGUGUUUCACCUGUAUGUUUUAACUUUGUUGUAUCCCAUUCCCAUCUCGAGCCAUGGGGAAAGAAAACAAAAUCAUCAUUUAAACCUUUUUGUCUUAUAUGGAUAAAAAGUGUGAUACAUAAUAAAUAAAUGUAAUAAAAAUAAAGCAUUAAGACUCAAAUAAGCCUUGUAGGCUAUCCA